UUUUCAGGCGUAGAAAACAGUGACAUGAAACGAUCGCGUGAUCCGCUUAACAAGAAGUUACCGCGCCAUCUUGUGACGAAAUGCACAACUAAUCAGCCGAUAACAACGGAUCCCAAUUAUAUCCCAAGUAAGUAAUAAAUAUAAAUGAUAACAAAAUUAAGACUUAACAACUUAUUGCACAAUUU